UGCACUCUGCAACUCGAGUGCAUGAAGCUGGAAUUACUAGUAAUCGUGGAUCAGCGUGCCACGGUGAAUGCGUUCCCGGGUCUUGUACACACCGCCCGUCACACCAUGGGAGUUGGUUCUACCUUAAGGCAAGGUUUCAAACCCUUGACCACGGUAUAGUCAGCGACUGGGGUGAAGUCGUAACAAGGUAGCCGUAGGGGAACCUGCGGCUGGAUUACCUCCUUU
rnacentral:rRNA from 1 species